GCAGUCGAACGAGAAAGUUUUCUUCGGAAAGCGAGUAGAGUGGCGCACGGGUGAGUAACGCGUAGGUAAUCUACCCUUAUACCUGGGAUAACAUUGGGAAACUGGUGCUAAUACCGGAUACACUUCUUUGCUGCGGGGCGAAGGAGGAAAGGUGGCCUCUUCAUGAAAGCUACCGUAUAGGGAUGAGCCUGCGUACCAUUAGCUAGUAGGUAGGGUAACGGCCUACCUAGGCCACGAUGGUUAGCGGGUCUGAGAGGAUGAUCCGCCACACUGGAACUGGAACACGGACCAGACUCCUACGGGAGGCAGCAGUGAGGAAUAUUGCGCAAUGGGGGAAACCCUGACGCAGCGACGCCGCGUGAGUGAGGAAGGUCUUCGGAUCGUAAAGCUCUGUCAGAAGGGAAGAAGUGUUAGGUGGUUAAUACCCAUUUAAUUUGACGGUACCUUCAGAGGAAGCACCGGCUAACUCCGUGCCAGCAGCCGCGGUAAUACGGAGGGUGCUAGCGUUGUUCGGAAUUACUGGGCGUAAAGGGCGCGUAGGCGGCUGGAUAAGUCAGAUGUGAAAGCCCACGGCUUAACUGUGGAAGUGCAUUUGAAACUGUCCGGCUUGAGUAUCGGAGGGGAGUGUGGAAUUCCCGGUGUAGAGGUGAAAUUCGUAGAGAUCGGGAGGAACACCGGUGGCGAAGGCGACACUCUGGACGAAUACUGACGCUGAGGCGCGAAAGCGUGGGGAGCAAACAGGAUUAGAUACCCUGGUAGUCCACGCCGUAAACGAUGUGAACUAGAGGUAGGGG
rnacentral:rRNA from 1 species